AUUGAACGCUGGCGGCAGGCCUAACACAUGCAAGUCGAACGGUAACAGAAAGCAGCUUGCUGCUUUGCUGACGAGUGGCGGACGGGUGAGUAAUGUCUGGGAAACUGCCUGAUGGAGGGGGAUAACUACUGGAAACGGUAGCUACUACCGCAUAACGUCGCAAGACCAAAGAGGGGGACCUUCGGGCCUCUUGCCAUCGGAGGUGCCCAGAUGGGAUUAGCUAGUAGGUGGGGUAACGGCUCACCUAGGCGACGAUCCCUAGCUGGUCUGAGAGGAUGACCAGCCACACUGGAACUGAGGCACGGUCCCGACUCCUACGGGAGGCAGCAGUGGGGAAUAUUGCACAAUGGGCGCAAGCCUGAUGCAGCCAUGCCGCGUGUAUGAAGAAGGCCUGCGGGUUGUAAAGUACUUUCAGCGGGGAGGAAGGGAGUAAAGUUAAUACCUUUGCUCAUUGACGUUACCCGCAGAAGAAGCACCGGCUAACUCCGUG
rnacentral:rRNA from 1 species